AUUGGUAUGAGAAGCUUCCAGGAAUAACCUGUGUAUAAGGUGCAAGCCCUUUACACUAGGAUAUCUUCUGGCAAAUUUUGGAGGGAGGGUCUUCGGGCUCUCUUUUUUUUUUUAUUUUUUU
rnacentral:misc_RNA from 1 species